UGCGUAGGGUGCGAACGUUAAUCGGAAUUACUGGGCGUAAGGCGUGCGCAGGCGGUUUGGUAAGACAGAUGUGAAAUUCCCGGGCUUAACCUGGGAACUGCAUUUGUGACUGCCAGGCUAGAGUGCGGCAGAGGGGAGUGGAAUUCCGCGUGUAGCAGUGAAAUGCGUAGAUAUGCGGAGGAACACCGAUGGCGAAGGCAACUCCCUGGGCCUGCACUGACGCUCAUGCACGAAAGCGUGGGGAGAAAACAGG
rnacentral:rRNA from 1 species